rnacentral:rRNA from 1 species
GACGUAGGGAGCAAGCGUUAUCCGGAAUUAUUGGGCGUAAAGAGCUCGUAGGCGGUUUGUCGCGUCUGCCGUGAAAGUCCGGGGCUCAACUCCGGAUCUGCGGUGGGUACGGGCAGACUAGAGUGAUGUAGGGGAGACUGGAAUUCCUGGUGUAGCGGUGAAAUGCGCAGAUAUCAGGAGGAACACCGGUGGCGAAGGCGGAUCUCUGGGCCAUUACUGACGCUGAGGAGCGAAAGCGUGGGGAGCGAACAGG